CCUACGGGAGGCAGCAGUCGAGAAUCAUUCACAAUGGGGGAAACCCUGAUGGUGCGACGCCGCGUGGGGGAAUGAAGGUCUUCGGAUUGUAAACCCCUGUCAUGUGGGAGCAAAUUAAAAAGAUAGUACCACAAGAGGAAGAGACGGCUAACUCUGUGCCAGCAGCCGCGGUAAUACAGAGGUCUCAAGCGUUGUUCGGAACCACUGGGCGUAAAGCGUGCGUAGGCUGUUUCGUAAGUCGUGUGUGAAAGGCGCGGGCUCAACCCGCGGACGGCACAUGAUACUGCGAGACUAGAGUAAGGGAGGGGGAACCGGAAUUCUCGGUGUAGCAGUGAAAUGCGUAGAUAUCGAGAGGAACACUCGUGGCGAAGGCGGGUUCCUGGACAGUAACUGACGCUGAGGCACGAAGGCCAGGGGAGCGAAAGGGAUUAGAUACCCGGGUAGUC
rnacentral:rRNA from 1 species